CUCUUCAGAUCGCAUAAAUCUUUCGCCUUUUACUAAAGAUUUCCGUGGAGAGGAACAAGUCUGAGUAUUAACCCAAUUUUUUGAGGCCUUGCUUCUGCAGGGCUUAUUUGUUCUUUCAAGAAAAGAUGUAAAUGCUUGGUGAUUGGAGUUCGCGUUUUCUCACUUCGAAUGUCUUCAGGGAGAAUGUGGUGUGGGCCUUGCUGCUCUUCAGGCACUCAAUCAGCACGUGAAACUAAUGACAGUAUCGGGCAGCACGGGUCUUGUAUUAAUUACAUUGCCCGAACAGACCAGUUUAUAGAUCCUUCUCUCUUCAUGGAGCACAUUCAGACAGUCUCUGGCUUCCACAUACUUGGUCUGUACCCCUUGACCUGGGCAAUGGACAUGAACAAGAACUCCACUUCCUGGUUCAGCUCGUUCUUGAGCAUCUCUAGCUGUGAUGGGGCAGUGGAGCUUCAGAGGGGCGAACUAGCCAGGCCAAAGCCACUGUGAGCUUUCUGUUGCAGUGCCGUGGCUCAAGGAAUGAACAUCAGAGCCCCGGGAGAGCUGCAGAUCACCCAGUCUCCAUUCUCCUCCCCAGAGUCUUCAAGAGAAAGCAGCCCUGGCCACCUUUCCCAGAGUCCCUCUUGGCUUCACGUCCUGUUCACCUUUCCCCUCUCUCUCUCCUUUCUCCACCCCACACCCCUUCCCUUGGGCUUUGCUUUCCUGCUCUCUGGCUUGCUUUCCACAAACACGCGAGUGUUUAGAGCUUCUCUCCGCUCUGGCUGGCUCACAAAGAGGUAAGAUACCGUGCUCGUCCUUAGGAAACUCACUUCCUAAGUUCCCCAAGCAGGGAUGACAGGUAGACACGGUGUGCAGAUUUGCUGCGGAAGGAAGUAGUUCUGUAUGAGAGGGUUAAGCAAGGUGCAGAGGAAGGGCAGAAGCAGAAGUAGUUCUAACCGGAGAGAACCAGGGAGGACAUCGGGAGGAGGCAGUGAACAAGAACCAGUGGAGUGGGAUCAUUCCAGGCUGAAGGAACUUCUUGCAGAAAGGCCUGGAGGCAGUGUUGUGCCUGGCACAUGCUGGAGAAGCCAGGAGCCCGACUUGAAGGAUUGGAGUCCACAAAAGGAGCCAAGAAUUAGGCUCUGUUCUGAAUAAUAAUAAUAAUAAGAGCAAGCAUGGUCCUGAGUGCUUUACAUGACUGACUUGUUUACUGCUCACAACCUGCAAGGUAGGUGCUGUCCUUAUCCCCCUGGUUUCUAGAGGAGGAAAUGGUCCCAGAAGGUCACCCAGCUGGACAGCAGCUGAGUGGGGAUUACAAACCCAAGCCUGUGCUCUGAACCGCUGGAUUACACUGUCUCCCGUGAGGGGGGCCUUGAACGCCAGGCCAAAGGUGUCGUACUGCCCUGGGAGCAAUGGGAAGCGAUGGCAGGUUCCUGAUCUAACCUGCAUUUUAGGACAUGCCCAGCUUCCUCAACCGCCCUCCCUACUCCAGGGUCUGACAUCCCUGGGUCUCUCCUCAAUAUGCAGGAAGAAAAUCUUCAUCUCAGCCAGUUUAGACCAUUCCCUCUUCUCCCCACCAUGAGAUUCCCCUGUCCUUUCUCCUCCACACCCAGAUAGCAAGUCAGUAGCCAGCAUGGGCUUAGAACAAGGAGGCCAAUGUUCCAGCCCCAGCUCCACCACCUCACUUCUCUGGGCCUCAGUUUCCAUCUGUUAAGUGAGAGGGUGACAGAGAGUCCAUCCCUGCCCCCCACAAGGCUUUGAGAAGACUCAGAUGAGGUAACAGGGAGGCAUUCCACAAAAGGCCACCAGAAUUAGUAACAGAGGCCUCAUCGUUAUCACUCAGGACUCCACAGAGGCUCUUUCCCUUCCCUGAGGAAGGCCCUGGCCAUUUGACCCUCUUGCUGGUUCCCUUUCCACCCGGAAGGCCACACCAAGCUUUCCUCAGACAUGUCAACUGGGCAAAAAAGCAGGUGCUGGAAAUCUAGUAACCAUUCAUUCAUCUAUUUCUUGGGCAUCUACUAAGUGCCAAGCCCCAUGCAGCAGAUGAUAGCUUCCUGGCUGCUCAGAGGUCGCAGCCCGCCCUUUCGCUUCUUUGCUCCGCUGUGCCUUCAGCCUCAGAGCCCUUUCCCCAGCCAUCAUUCCUCUUCGAAGACUUCCUUAAUCCUGGACGCCUAGGAACUGCGUUUUCUUCUGUUUCCACAGCUUGUUGCUGUUACCACCCACGUGAGCAUUUGGAUAGAUAGCAGUACUUUUAUUCACCCCUGGGCAGUCAGUUCACUGAGGGCCUGGUCCGCCUCCCUUGCACGGGGCUGAGCACUUAUGAGCUGCUAGCUUCCAUCCAACUGUAGUCCCCAUAGCUGUAAUCCUCACUAAUUCCACAGGGUGGCAGCAAAACCCUCCGGUCACAGCCCUCCUCCUGGGAGAGCAGAGCCUCCAGGCAGGGCUGCUGCGUCCAGAGACUCCCUCGACUGCAGGGAAGCCAGGCCAGAGAGAGCACAAGCAGGGCGAGCGGCAGGCAAAGGGAGAAGGAGAAGCAGGCUCCCCGCUGAGCAGGGAGCCCAACCUGGGGCUCGGUCCCAGCACCCUGGGACCAUGACCUGAGCUGAAGGCAGCCGCCCGACCGACUGAGCCACCCAGAGAGAGCACAAGCAGUGGCAGGCAGAGGGAGAAGCAGACUCUCUGCAGGGCAGGGCCCGAUGCGGGGAGCCCCCCAGGCACCCCAAGUAUGUGACUUUUUUAUUCUGGCUAUCCUCGUGGGAACAGAGUGGUAUCGCAUUGGGGUUUUGCUUUUUAUUUAUUUAAUGUGCUGUUGGGCACUUGCAUAUCUUCUUUGCAGAAAUGUGUAUUCAGAUCCCUUGCCCAUUUUUUUAUUUAGGUUUUUUUUAAAUAUUAAGUAAUCUCUACACCCAACGUGGGGCUCAAACUCACGACCCCGAGGUCAAGAACUGAUUGCUCUACUAACUAAGCCGGCCAGGCGCCCCACCUUUGCCCAUUUUUAAAUUGGGUUACUUGUCUUUUCAUCAUUGAGUUAUUUUUAUUGCGUUAUGAGUUCUUCGUAUAUUCUAGAUACAAAUCCUUUAUCAGAGAUACGACGUGCAAGUAUUUUCUCCCAUCCUGUGCUUGUCUUGGUACUUUCUUGACGGUGUCAUUCGAAGCACAAAGUUCUUAAUUGUGAUAUGGUUUUUUUUUUUGGAUGUUUUUGGUGGUAUUUUUUCUUUUCUUGGAUUGUACCUGUGGCAUUAUGUCAGUUUUUGCCUAAUCCAAGGUUACAAAUCUGUACAUCUAUGUUUUCUUCUAUGUGCUAGCUUUUACAUUUAGGUUUUUGCUCCCUUUUAAUUGUUUUUACGUGGUGUGAGGAAGGGGUCCAAAUUCAUUCUUCUUCAUGUGAAUAUCCACUUGUCCCAGUGCCAUCUGUUGAAAAGUCUCUUCUUCCCCAUGAAUGGUUUUGAUAUCCUUGCCAAAGUUCAAUUUAUUUAUUUAUUUAUUUAUUUAUUUAUUUUUAAAGAUUUUAUUUAUUUAUUUGACAGAGAGACACACAGCGAGAGAGGGAACACAAGCAGGGGGAGUGGGAGAGGGAGAAGCAGGCUUCCGGCCGAGCAGGGAGCCCGAUGCAGGGCUCGAUCCCAGGACCCUGGGAUCAUGACCUGAGCUGAAGGCAGUCACCCAACUGACUGAGCCACCCAGGCGCCCUUAUUUUUAUAUUUUUUUAAGAUUUUAUUUAUU